AACGAACGCUGGCGGCAGGCCUAACACAUGCAAGUCGAGCGAAGCCUUCGGGCUUAGCGGCGGACGGGUGAGUAACGCGUGGGAACGUGCCCUUUGGUACGGAAUAGCCCCGGGAAACUGGGAGUAAUACCGUAUGUGGUCGAGAGACGAAAGAUUUAUCGCCAAAGGAUCGGCCCGCGUUGGAUUAGGUAGUUGGUGGGGUAAUGGCCUACCAAGCCGACGAUCCAUAGCUGGUUUGAGAGGAUGAUCAGCCACACUGGGACUGAGACACGGCCCAGACUCCUACGGGAGGCAGCAGUGGGGAAUCUUAGACAAUGGGGGAAACCCUGAUCUAGCCAUGCCGCGUGAUCGAUGAAGGCCUUAGGGUUGUAAAGAUCUUUCAGUGGGGAAGAUAAUGACUGUACCCACAGAAGAAGCCCCGGCUAACUCCGUG
rnacentral:rRNA from 1 species